UCACCAAUUUGUAUGUGUGUAAUUGCAAAGGAAUGAAAUACUUAGAUAUAUGUUUAGCAGUACAGGGUAUAGCCCAACUUUAAGUGUUAACGAUAAUUAACUGCAUUUCAAUGAAGGAAACAGUAGCUGACAUUAUCUUCAGCAGGUUGAAAAGUUUGGAGCUUGUGAAUCUACCGCAACUUAAGAGCUUUUGGUCAAGUGACCAUUCUUACUAAUACUGAGUGGUUGUCCUGAGUUGGAGAUAUUUUGAAAUGGAGUUUUAAAGACGCCAUUGGUGGAAAGAUUAGAAGACGGAAACGGUACGGGACAUUGGCACAAUGACCUUAACAGCACUAUCCCAACAUUUGCUUUCAAUGAAGGUAUGUACUAUUUUAUAUUCUUUUAAUUUACCUUUAAAUAUUCUAUUUUAUUCCUUUAGGUACUCAUUGUUUCUUUGUUUUGGAUUUUAUGCCAAGGUUUAGUCUACAAGGGAGCAGCAGGAUAUAGGAGUAGUUGGUGAAGAAAAACCACCCUUUCUCAAGAUAUUUUCAAUGAGCAGGUGUGGGGUAUGCCGCUGUCAUUCAGGAUUCUCGAGGCCAUGUUGUUAAAGCUACAUCGGCUGGAGUGAUGGGCUGGUUGUACCAUGAAUGGCCUAGAUGAUUGUCCCUCUUAGUUAAAGUCACUUCUAAUCAAUCGGAUUACUUAUUGGUGGUCGAAGCAUUACAAAAUUUAUGUUCUUUUAUUAUUGAAUUUGGUAUAACCCUUCAUGAUUGUUUAAUGCUACAAUUUUAUUUUGAAUCUUUAUCAUUCCAUUAGAUUAUGGAGGUGUCAAUAAAGUAAUUCAUACUCUUAUUAAGAUAACC
rnacentral:lncRNA from 1 species